rnacentral:rRNA from 1 species
CCCGCAGCACGAGUAGUGGUCACUUUUAUUGAGCCUAAAGCGUUCGUAGCCGGUUUUGUAAAUCUCCAGAUAAAGCCUGAAGCUUAACUCCAGAAAGUCUGAAGAGACUGCAAGACUUGAGAUCGGGUGAGGUUAAACGUACUUUCAGGGUAGGGGUAAAAUCCUGUAACCCCGGAAGGACGACCAGUGGCGAAAGCGUUUAACUAGAACGAAUCUGACGGUAAGGAACGAAGGCUAGGGUAGCAAACCGGAUUAGAUACCCGGGUAGUCCUAGCUGUAAACAUUGCCCAUUUGAUGUUGCUUUCCCGUUGAGGGAAGGCAGUGUCGGAGCGAAGGUGUUAAAUGGGCCGCUUGGGAAGUAUGGUCGCAAGACUGAAACUUAAACGAAUUGGCGGGGGAGCACCGCAACGGGAGGAAUGUGCGGUUUAAUUGGAUUCAACGCCGGAAAACUCACCGGGAACGACCUGUGCAUGAGAGUCAACUUGACGAGCUUACUCGAUAGCAGGAGAGGUGGUGCAUGGCCG